AUUGAACGCUGGCGGCAGGCCUAACACAUGCAAGUCGAGCGGUAGCACAGAGAGCUUGCUCUCGGGUGACGAGCGGCGGACGGGUGAGUAAUGUCUGGGAAACUGCCUGAUGGAGGGGGAUAACUACUGGAAACGGUAGCUAAUACCGCAUAACGUCGCAAGACCAAAGUGGGGGACCUUCGGGCCUCAUGCCAUCAGAUGUGCCCAGAUGGGAUUAGCUAGUAGGUGGGGUAAUGGCUCACCUAGGCGACGAUCCCUAGCUGGUCUGAGAGGAUGACCAGCCACACUGGAACUGAGACACGGUCCAGACUCCUACGGGAGGCAGCAGUGGGGAAUAUUGCACAAUGGGCGCAAGCCUGAUGCAGCCAUGCCGCGUGUGUGAAGAAGGCCUUCGGGUUGUAAAGCACUUUCAGCGGGGAGGAAGGCGAUAAGGUUAAUAACCUCAUCGAUUGACGUUACCCGCAGAAGAAGCACCGGCUAACUCCGUGCCAGCAGCCGCGGUAAUACGGAGGGUGCAAGCGUUAAUCGGAAUUACUGGGCGUAAAGCGCACGCAGGCGGUCUGUCAAGUCGGAUGUGAAAUCCCCGGGCUCAACCUGGGAACUGCAUUCGAAACUGGCAGGCUAGAGUCUUGUAGAGGGGGGUAGAACUCCAGGUGUAGCGGUGAAAUGCGUAGAGAUCUGGAGGAAUACCGGUGGCGAAGGCGGCCCCCUGGACAAAGACUGACGCUCAGGUGCGAAAGCGUGGGGAGCAAACAGGAUUAGAUACCCUGGUAGUCCACGCCGUAAACGAUGUCGAUUUGGAGGUUGUGCCCUUGAGGCGUGGCUUCCGGAGCUAACGCGUUAAAUCGACCGCCUGGGGAGUACGGCCGCAAGGUUAAAACUCAAAUGAAUUGACGGGGGCCCGCACAAGCGGUGGAGCAUGUGGUUUAAUUCGAUGCAACGCGAAGAACCUUACCUGGUCUUGACAUCCACAGAACUUUCCAGAGAUGGAUUGGUGCCUUCGGGAACUGUGAGACAGGUGCUGCAUGGCUGUCGUCAGCUCGUGUUGUGAAAUGUUGGGUUAAGUCCCGCAACGAGCGCAACCCUUAUCCUUUGUUGCCAGCGGUCCGGCCGGGAACUCAAAGGAGACUGCCAGUGAUAAACUGGAGGAAGGUGGGGAUGACGUCAAGUCAUCAUGGCCCUUACGACCAGGGCUACACACGUGCUACAAUGGCAUAUACAAAGAGAAGCGACCUCGCGAGAGCAAGCGGACCUCAUAAAGUACGUCGUAGUCCGGAUUGGAGUCUGCAACUCGACUCCAUGAAGUCGGAAUCGCUAGUAAUCGUAGAUCAGAAUGCUACGGUGAAUACGUUCCCGGGCCU
rnacentral:rRNA from 1 species